rnacentral:piRNA from 1 species
UGUCAAGGUUGUGGCAAUACUUUAUGACUGC